CGCGUGGGUAACCUGCCUCACACAGGGGGAUAACAGCCGGAAACGGCUGCUAAUACCGCAUAAGCGCACAGUACCGCAUGGUACGGUGUGAAAAACUUUAGUGGUGUGAGAUGGACCCGCGUCUGAUUAGCUUGUUGGUGAGGUAACGGCCCACCAAGGCGACGAUCAGUAGCCGACCUGAGAGGGUGACCGGCCACAUUGGGACUGAGACACGGCCCAAACUCCUACGGGAGGCAGCAGUGGGGAAUAUUGCACAAUGGGCGAAAGCCUGAUGCAGCGACGCCGCGUGAGUGAAGAAGUAUUUCGGUAUGUAAAGCUCUAUCAGUAGGGAAGAUAAUGACGGUACCU
rnacentral:rRNA from 1 species